GUCUGGUGACAUAGCUCAGUUGGCAGAGCAUGAGACUCUUAAUCUCAGGGAUGUAGGUUCAAGCUCCAUGUUGGAUA